GGGUCUAUGCAGAUAGUAAUGGGGGAUGUGAAUCACUUGUCAGUAUUUUAAAGUACUUCAUAUUUUCAGCUACUAAUAUAAGCUAACAACAUCGUCCAUUUUCUUUGAUUUUGCCUAGAAUCACAUCAUCUCAUUGAGAUAAACCAGAUAUUUCAUGCAGUCUUCAGCCUGGCAAACAGCUAUUACGGACAAUGUGGAAGGAAGGUGGUGGAAAAUGAACUUUACAGAUUGCCCUCAGUCAUUAGCGAAAGUCACAAAGUCCAUAGAAGGCAGGACGUCAGUGGACAGGUGGUCCAGGUCGCCUGUGGUCAGGACCAUAGUCUGUUCCUAACGGAUAAAGGAGAAGUCUAUUCUGGUGGAUGGGGCGCAGCUGGGCAAACAGAAGGACAUGUUUUUGUCUGAGGCUACGGAAUUCUUGGCAAAGGACCAAACCUAGUGGAAACUGCUCUUCCGGAAGUGAUUCCACCCACUCUCUUCAGCUUGAUGGAGUUCAACCCAGAAGUCCAGGUUUCCCGCAUUUGCUGUGGACUCAGCCGCGUUGCUCCUCUUACCAGUAAGUGGCCAAGCCCGUGUGGCCCCAGUGACGGGCCGAGCUGCAUUCUCUUAGGUUCACCCCAAGCCGUGGGCAGCUUUCAGUGUCCAUCCAUCCAGUGGAGGGGCGCCCCACGUGGAUAAUUACAGAGAGCAGCUCAUCCAGACGUUGUUUGGCUUGAAGUUGUAUAAUGUGUGUCUUUUUUCAUCCUGGAGUUUUGUUUUUGGUUCCUUUGGUUUGUGGUUGGGCUCAUGUGAAAGUGAAUUUUCUCAAGAGGACGCCAGUCGGUGGUAGGAGGGGGACCCUCGAGAUGUCGGGGUGCUGGGGAACCCAGCAGAGUUUUGGUGAAUCCCCGGGAGAGCCAUUGGGAAAUGAAAGUGUGGGACUCAUCCCGCUCCUGGCCAAGCCCAAACCCUGACC